GCCAGCAGCCAUAUCACCCUGCAACUCACAACUGGCAACCCACUGAAGCUAAGCAGGUGUGAGGCUGGUCAGUACCUUGAUGGGAGACCUCCUGGGAAAAACUAAGGUUGCUGCUGGAA
ensembl:rRNA 5S_rRNA 5S ribosomal RNA